CCCAACUGCAUGGGCGAAGCCUGACGGAGCGACGCCGCGUGGACGAUGAAGGCCGAAAGGUUGUAAAGUCCUUUUCCCGGUGAAGAAUAAGCCUGCGAGGGAAUGCGCGGGUGAUGACAGUAACCACGGAAUAAGCCCCGGCUAACUACGUGCCAGCAGCCGCGGUAACACGUAGGGGGCGAGCGUUGUUCGGAUUUAUUGGGCGUAAAGGGCGUGUAGGCGGUUCGGUAAGCCUGGUGUGAAAGGCGCAAGCUCAACUUGCGAUCCGCGCCGGGGACUGUCGGACUAGAGUUUCGGAAGGGAAGCUGGAAUUCCAGGUGUAGGGGUGAAAUCUGUAGAUAUCUGGAAGAACACCGGUGGCGAAGGCGAGCUUCUGGCCAGAGACUGACGCUGAGGCGCGAAAGCGUGGGGAGCAAACAGGAUUAGAUACCCUGGUAGUCCACGCUGUAAACGAUGUGCACUAGGUGUUGGGGCGUUCGCUUCAGUGCCGUAGCAAACGCGUUAAGUGCACCGCCUGGGGAGUAUGCUCGCAAGGGUG
rnacentral:rRNA from 1 species